UUUCUCUUCUCUCUAGAAGAGGAAUGGUUUGGAGCAACCCAUCCUGGAGUGGGAUGGGAGCUCACUCUCCCUGCUGCCCUGGUUGUUUUUGGUGUGAUAUUACUAUGGAGGACCGUCCUUGCGGUAAACUUUUUGUAUUAUUACCAUGUUACMACAAUUUUCAUACACUUCAAUUUCCCAUGGAAAUGAAAKGAAUUGAGGGAAAGGCUCAUUUUGCAGUUUGAUUGAUCUUCUAAUGAUGUAUGAUGUAGUCCAUGUUUAAACGUUGUUCUCAUUGCCUUGUCUCUGUUUCUCAUAGAUCAAAAGCAGGAUACGUCUAUGUGAGUUUUCCUACCUUUCAUUAAGUAGCUCAGAUGAGGAGAAGAAAGCUUUUGUACUUACAUUUUAUACAGUAGAUGUAGCUCCUUAGUCAUGCCUGAACCAAGACUAAWUUCAUAUUCCCAUCUGUAUCKCCAGUGACUGAGACACAGCUAAACGUGAAACUCGCCCAGCUAUCGAAAAASAAAUGUGACAUAAUGAUUCAAUUGUCUGAAAUGGAGAUACUGGACUAUGACGCRCCAGUGAAAAGGUUGCGGGCAUGCCUGCAGUCCUCUCAAGAGGAUAGUCAGGAGCUGGAGGAUAUGAAGAAACAAUGGGACAUCAGAGCUGGAGAAAUGGAGGCAUUUCAUCUCCAGCUCCAGGAGCGUGUUGAACGCAUACAGAAACUGAAAGCUGUUGUAAGUCCAUUACUGCUCAAUCAAACUCACUGGUUUGGUAUGAUGAUAAAGAGCUAUCUUAAUGGGGUUUAUGUUAUGGCUCCCAACAGUGGGGACCGAUGGAACCACUUAAAGAGCAUCACGGUGGGGAUGCCAGGAUCCCUAGUGCCACCAACACCCAAUCUACCGAUCAACACCACAGUGGAGGAGGUGAACAGGGGUCUUCAGGACAAAAAUUGUCAGCUUGAAGAGAAGAAUGCCGCUCUACAUCAAAAACUCCACAGCACUGAGAAGAUGUAUAGACAGACUCUAAACRAG
rnacentral:lncRNA from 1 species